AGCAGUAGCCGCGGGAAUACGUAGGGUGCAAGCGUUAAUCGGAAUUACUGGGCGUAAAGCGUGCGCAGGCGGUUCGCUAAGACAGAUGUGAAAUCCCCGGGCUUAACCUGGGAACUGCAUUUGUGACUGGCGGGCUAGAGUGUGGCAGAGGGGGGUAGAAUUCCACGUGUAGCAGUGAAAUGCGUAGAGAUGUGGAGGAAUACCGAUGGCGAAGGCAGCCCCCUGGGCCAAUACUGACGCUCAUGCACGAAAGCGUGGGGAGCAAACAGGAUUAGAUACCCCUGUAGUCCCUGUCUCUUAUAC
rnacentral:rRNA from 1 species